rnacentral:rRNA from 1 species
GUGGGGAAUUUUGCGCAAUGGGCGAAAGCCUGACGCAGCAACGCCGCGUGGAGGAUGAAGGUCUUCGGAUUGUAAACUCCUGUCAGCAGGGAAGAAGGCUUCCGGCCGAAUACGUCGGGAGAUUGACUGUACCUGCAGAGGAAGCCCCGGCUAACUCUGUGCCAGCAGCCGCGGUAAUACAGAGGGGGCAAGCGUUAUUCGGAAUUAUUGGGCGUAAAGGGCGCGUAGGCGGCGCGACAAGUGGCGGGUGAAAUCCCUCGGCUCAACCGAGGAACUGCCCUCCAGACUGUCGUGCUUGAGUCCGGGAGAGGUGAGUGGAAUUCCCAGUGUAGCGGUGAAAUGCGUAGAUAUUGGGAGGAACACCGGUGGCGAAGGCGGCUCACUGGACCGGUACUGACGCUGAGGCGCGAAAGCGUGGGGAGCAAACGGGAUUAGAUACCCGUGUAGUCC